rnacentral:rRNA from 1 species
GGAAUUUUCCACAAUGGGCGAAAGCCUGACGCAGCAAUGCCGCGUGAGUGAAGAAGGCCCUCGGGUCGUAAAGCUCUUUAUCUUCGGGAAGAUGAUGACGGUACCGAAGGAAGAAGCACCGGCUAACUACGUGCCAGCAGCCGUGGUAAUACGUAGGGUGCAAGCGUUGUUCGGAAUCACUGGGCGUAAAGGGCGUGUAGGCGGAACGAUUAGCGAGGGGUGAAAUCCCGGGGCUCAACCCCGGAACUGCUCUUCGAACUGUCGAUCUAGAGAAGGUCAGGGGCCGGCGGAAUUCCUGGUGUAGAGGUGAAAUUCGUAGAGAUCAGGAGGAACAUCGGAGGCGAAGGCGGCCGGCUGGGGCCAUUCUGACGCUGAGGCGCGAAAGCGUGGGGAGCAAACAGGAUUAGAUACCCCUGUAGUC